rnacentral:sRNA from 2 species
UCAACAGACGGCUAGGGUUCCGGCCUGUGCAAGCAGGUGACUGGUCCGAGAGCUGUCGACCUCCUUGUGAGGUUACACGGCGGGACAAAAGCCCGGGAGAA